AAUAGUCUUUUCCUAAACAUUUAUUCUAAAAAUAAGUUUAUUAAAUUUUUAUUUAUAAAUAUAGUCUAAUAAAAGCGGUGAAUCAUUCACCGUUUUUAAAAGCGGUGAACCAUUCAUCGCUUUCUUUAUUUUUUUCAUUUUUUUCUAUAUUUUUAUAAUGAUAAAAGCGGUGAAUAUUUUACCGCUUUUAUUUUUUUUUUACUCCUAAUGAGAAGUUAUAAAUGCGAUGAAUCAUUCACCGCAUUUAUAGGACUAUUUUUAUAAUUAUUUUUUUAACAAAAUUAUUUUUAUAAUUAUAAAAAUUAAUAAGAUUAUUUAUAAAAAAAAUUCCUCGCUCGCUCUCUCUCUCUCUC
rnacentral:lncRNA from 1 species